AGCGAACGCUGGCGGCAGGCUUAACACAUGCAAGUCGAGCGGGCCCUUCGGGGUCAGCGGCGGACGGGUGAGUAACGCGUGGGAACGUGCCUUCUGGUCUGGAAUAACCCUGGGAAACUAGGGCUAAUACCGGAUACGCCCUUUUGGGGAAAGGUUUACUGCCGGAAGAUCGGCCCGCGUCUGAUUAGCUAGUUGGUGGGGUAACGGCCUACCAAGGCGACGAUCAGUAGCUGGUCUGAGAGGAUGAUCAGCCACACUGGGACUGGGACACGGCCCAGACUCCUACGGGAGGCGGCAGUGGGGAAUAUUGGACAAUGGGCGCAAGCCUGAUCCAGCCAUGCCGGGUGAGUGAUGAAGGCCUUAGGGUUGUAAAGCUCUUUUAUCCGGGACGAUAAUGACGGUACCGGAGGAAUAAGCCCCGGCUAACUUCGUG
rnacentral:rRNA from 1 species